UCACGAAUUUCAAUACCCCCACUCUUCUUCUUACUACGAGAAUACGUCAAUUUCUCUUUUCCUUUCCAUUUUUCACUACCCUUUCCUUUUGAUUUUCCUGAAACAACUUGGUCUUUUCCUUUUUUCUUCUUCGACAAUACUUCCGGAGAGAGUGCCUCCCAAUCUGUCGACUCAGUUUUCGAUUCAUCGUCAGGAGCAUAUUCACUCCCGAUAUCCUCAACCGGUUGCUCUACAGGCUGUUGAGCCGAAGAACGAUGGCGCUUACCACCACGACCACCACCAGCCAU
rnacentral:lncRNA from 1 species